CAGCCGCCACGGGAAUACGUAGGUGGCAAGCGUUGUCCGGAAUUAUUGGGCGUAAAGGGCUCGCAGGCGGUUUCUUAAGUCUGAUGUGAAAGCCCCCGGCUCAACCGGGGAGGGUCAUUGGAAACUGGGAAACUUGAGCGCAGAAGAGGAGAGUGGAAUUCCACGUGUAGCGGUGAAAUGCGUAGAGAUGUGGAGGAACACCAGUGGCGAAGGCGACUCUCUGGUCUGUAACUGACGCUGAGGAGCGAAAGCGUGGGGAGCGAACAGGAUUAGAUACCCCGGUAGUCCCUGUCUCUUAUAC
rnacentral:rRNA from 1 species